UACGUAGGGUGCGAGCGUUAAUCGGAAUUACUGGGCGUAAAGCGUGCGCAGGCGGUUUUUUAAGUCCGCUGUGAAAUCCCCGGGCUCAACCUGGGAAUGGCAUUUGGGACUGCAAGGCUCGAGUGCGGCAGAGGAGACUGGAAUUCCUGGUGUAGCAGUGAAAUGCGUAGAUAUCAGGAGGAACACCGAUGGCGAAGGCAGGUCUCUGGGCUGACACUGACGCUCAGGCACGAAAGCGUGGGGAGCAAACAGG
rnacentral:rRNA from 1 species